GACGAACGCUGGCGGCGUGCUUAACACAUGCAAGUCGAACGAUGAAGAAAAGAAUCGAAGCUUCGGCAGAAAUUCAUUUCGGAUUAGUGGCAGACGGGUGAGUAACGCGUGAGCAACCUACCUCUUACAAAGGGAUAGCCUCGGGAAACCGGGAUUAAUACCAUAUAACAUUGUGACGAAGCAUUUCGAUGCAAUCAAAGCUACGGCGGUAAGAGAUGGGCUCGCGUCCCAUUAACCGGAUGGUGAGGUAACGGCUCACCAUAGUGACGAUGGGUAACCGGGCUGAGAGGGUGAACGGUCACACUGGAACUGAGACACGGUCCAGACUCCUACGGGAGGCAGCAGUGGGGAAUAUUGCACAAUGGAGGGAACUCUGAUGCAGCGACGCCGCGUGAGUGAUGAAGGAAUUCGUUUCGUAAAACUCUGUUCUAUGGGAAGAAAAUGACUGUACCAUAGGAGAAAGCUCCGGCUAAAUACGUG
rnacentral:rRNA from 1 species